rnacentral:rRNA from 1 species
AACGAACGCUGGCGGCAUGCCUAACACAUGCAAGUCGAACGAGACCUUCGGGUCUAGUGGCGCACGGGUGCGUAACGCGUGGGAACCUGCCCUUAGGUUCGGAAUAACUCCCCGAAAGGGGUGCUAAUACCGGAUAAUGUCUUCGGACCAAAGAUUUAUCGCCUUUGGAUGGGCCCGCGUUGGAUUAGCUAGUUGGUAGGGUAAAAGCCUACCAAGGCGACGAUCCAUAGCUGAUCUGAGAGGAUGAUCAGCCACACUGGGACUGAGACACGGCCCAGACUCCUACGGGAGGCAGCAGUGGGGAAUAUUGGACAAUGGGCGAAAGCCUGAUCCAGCAAUGCCGCGUGAGUGAUGAAGGCCUUAGGGUUGUAAAGCUCUUUUACCCGGGAUGAUAAUGACAGUACCGGGAGAAUAAGCUCCGGCUAACUCCGU